AUUGAACGCUGGCGGCAGGCCUAACACAUGCAAGUCGAGCGAGCGGCGGACGGGUGAGUAAUGUCUGGGAAACUGCCUGAUGGAGGGGGAUAACUACUGGAAACGGUAGCUAAUACCGCAUACCCUCAGAUGUGCCCAGAUGGGAUUGGCUAGUAGGUGGGGUAACGUCUCACCUAGGCGACGAUCCCUAGCUGGUCUGAGAGGAUGACCAGCAACACUGGAACUGAGCCACGGUCCAGACUCCUACGGUGGGCAGCAGUGGGGAAUAUUGCACAAUGGGCGCAAGACUGAGGCAGCCAUGCCGCGUGUGUGAAGAAGGCUUUCGGGUUGUAAAGCACUUUCAGCGGGGAGGCGUUACCCGCAGAAGAAGCACCGGCUAACUCCGUGCCAGCAGCCGCGGUAAUAC
rnacentral:rRNA from 1 species